rnacentral:miRNA from 1 species
AUCAGUAUCACCUGGAGGUCUUGUUAAAACACAGAUGGUUGGCCCCACUCCCAGAGUAUCUGAAUUGGUAAGUUUGGAGUGGGACCAAGAAUUUGCCUUUCUAACAAGUUCUGAGGUGAUGUUGAU